rnacentral:rRNA from 1 species
AGAGUUUGAUCCUGGCUCAGAUUGAACGCUGGCGGAAUGCUUUACACAUGCAAGUCGAGCGGCAGCGCGGGGGCAACCCUGGCGGCGAGCGGCGAACGGGUGAGUAACACAUCGGAACGUACCCAGUUGUGGGGGAUAGCCCGGCGAAAGCCGGAUUAAUACCGCAUACGACCUGAGGGUGAAAGAGGGGGAUCGCAAGACCUCUCGCAGUUGGAGCGGCCGAUGGCGGAUUAGCUAGUUGGUGAGGUAAAGGCUCACCAAGGCGACGAUCCGUAGCUGGUCUGAGAGGACGACCAGCCACACUGGAACUGAGACACGGUCCAGACUCCUACGGGAGGCAGCAGUGGGGAAUUUUGGACAAUGGGGGCAACCCUGAUCCAGCCAUUCCGCGUGAGUGAAGAAGGCCUUCGGGUCGUAAAGCUCUUUCGGCAGGAACGAAACGGUAUGGGCUAAUAUCCCAUAUCAAUGACGGUACC